GGGGAGCACUGUGACACAAACCCUUACAAAAACCUCCAACCCACAUUUCCUCACUCAUUUGUUGCUUUCAAUUCAAGAUGACACAAAAAGAAGAUUUUUCAUGGGACUACAAAGUAAAGACCAUACCAGGAGAUGUUCACAGCUUUAAUAACACAGUUUUUGUUCAGGCAGUGAGUUGAGCUGCAACACUGUGCAUUCAUUUGACAUCUGGGGCGCUGGCACCUACGUUGAAGUGAAUUCAGGAACACAACCUGCUCGACCUGCUCUUUUCCCAGUGGUUCAGCGCACCUCUGGGACCAGAGGCAAACUGACUGUUGGCUGUCUUGUACAUGAUUUCAGUCCAAAAAGUACUUUUCAGUGGACUGAUGGGAACGGGAACGAUCUGACCUCAGAGCAAUACCCUCCAGCGCAGCGAAAUAACACAUAUACAGGAAUCAGUUUGAUCAAGGUAUCAAAACGCGACUGGAACUUAAAGAAGAGCUUUCAUUGCUCUGUUAAACAUGGUGAAAGCACCGAAAGUGUCAUGGUAAAGAACAGUGACCCAGUGAUCUCUGAAGUGAAGGUAAAUCUGGUCUCAGUGGCGAGUGGAGAAGAUCAGAUGCUGGUGUGUUCCAUUCAGGAUAUCGAUCCACAAGAGUUGCAGGUCAAAUGGAAGAAAAACUCUCAUUAUUUGAGUCAGGAUAAUGAACUGACUAUACAAAAUAAUGGGGACAUAUACUCAGCUGUCAGUGUCCUCAAGGUCAGAUAUUCAGAAUGGAACUCUCAAAGUGUUUACAUGUGUGAGAUAACACACGAGGGGAUGACACUCACAAAGGAAUUUUCCAAAGUCACAGUGGCGUUGAGCAGUUCAAAUCUCAAAGAAAUUCACGACAACAACCGGGCAGAGUAUGAGUGUGUUGUCUCAGGACAGAACGACUCUGUCCUACGGAGUACGACCAUCAAGUGGCAGAUUGAUGGACGGGCGACCACGGACAACAUUGAGCAGAAAAAUGUUGCAAAUGGCAAAAGCAGCAAACUGACAAUGACCCUCACACAGUACAGCCAAGUCAGCAAAGUGAGCUGUUCUGCCGUUAGUGAAGACAUGACAUCGUCCACUCGAGAGCUGACUGUCCACAACGGAGAUGGGAGUGAGCCAAAAGUGACCGUCAUCAAGACAGACAUCAAUCAGGGGUCUUCAGCCGAGGUCACUCUGGUGUGUCUGGUCUCCAGCAGCGUGCUGCAGGAUUACUACAUCGCUUGGUCAGAAGAUGAUGGACAAAGCAGUGGAGAGUAUCAGGAUGGUUUCACGACCACUUCACAAAGAACCAAAAAUGGUUUCUUGGUUACAAGUAUUUACACCACCACCAGGGAAAAGUGGAAGACUAACAUGUUCCACUGCAACGUAUGGACGCCCAAGUUCAACGUGACAAAAGGAGUGUCUGACGCAAUGGGUGAUCUUUCUGAGACGAGUUUUGUUCUGAGUUGCACUGAUCACGACCCCGAGGAUGAAAUCAGCAGCCUGUGGUCAACAACAUCCACAUUCAUAUUUCUUUUCAUCUUCUCUCUCUUCUAUAGCAUGAUAUUCAGUCUCAUCAAGGUAAAACGCCUUUUUUUGAUGCUUUGAUUUGUACGAGUAGAUGCAUGAAUGUCAGUUACAUCAUGUUAGAUUUUCUGCACUCAUCUGACCAAGAUAAAUGACACACACAAAUGGAGUUUUGAGCCUCUCUUCACUGUGGAAUUUUGUCUUCAUUCUUCAUUUGUGCAGGGAAAAAACUUCUAUCAUUGACGUAAUAUCAGAAAAAAAUAUUGAUCAUCCCGCAUGAAGAAAAACAUGUAAAGUUUUAUUGUAUUGACAUUUUGAAAGUAUUUACUAGCCAUAUAACAAUAAGAUUUAACUUUAAUCGAUUUUUUUGUUGACAAGAAAAUCCUGUGUUGUUUUAAAUGUGUUGUCAAUUCUCGAAAUAUGGAAAAAUCUUAAUCGCAAACUUCAUGAUCAACUUCAGUUCCAACAAUCCAAAGAUGACUGGAUUGUCCAAUCGUAUGAUGAUAG